AUUCCAUGUUUCUUAUUCCAGAUUUUCUGGGUUUCCCCAGUUUCAGUUGAGGCAGCUGAUUCUUGUUUGGGCUGGCCUCAUAAAUAGCUUCAGGAUUCAGCCUCUGGCUGCUGGAUUGUUACUGCCCAAAUCUCCUGUGUGUAUUCCUUCCCUUCACCUGCUUCCUGGAGCCUCGCCCUGUUUGGAACUGCCUUUGCAAGUUUCAGAUGGGACGUUUCAGGCUGCCUAUUGGACAGUGUCUGGGUUGGAGCAAAUGGAAGUACACAGAUGGAUAUUAAUUUGAUUAUUCCCACGGUCAUGAAUGCAAGAAGCAGCAUCCGAUGUCAUGUCCUGGGUCAUCAGCCGAGCGGCAGAGAACCGCUUUAACACUCAAAAGUUGUAAGUUAUAAACAGCGCAGCAUCAGGUAAAGGUAACACAGCCCUGGGAUGCUACUGCCGGGAACAGAAUUUUGCCUUUAAAGUUCUAUUGUUGCUUGACAAUGCGCCAGCCCAUCCUAAACAUUUGGACAGCAUUCAUCCUAACAUAACAGUACGUUUCCUGCCACCUGACAUAACAUCGCUGAUUCAACCACUUGACCAAGGUGUGAUCCACAUUCAAGACGUAUUUUUUUUUUUACGGCGAACUCUCUCUCUGAUGCUGCAAGCAACAGAGGAUUUUGAAAAUCCCGGGAGGUUACCAACGGUGAGGGAAUGGUGGAAGUCGGAACACUUGGCACAAAUGGCAAUGGACAUGGACCCAAGUUUAGAAUGGAGUCAGCAUUUCAGUCGUUCUCUGCCGUCGACCCUUCUUCCCUACAAGCAAAUUUAUGCUGAAAAACAAAAUGCUGCCAAGCAAACAACUCUCAUCACUUUAUUCAAACUGGUGUUAUCUCCUGCUGCUGGCAGUUCAACUGAGUUCUGUGAGUCUUCCUUCACCCCUUGUUGUGCUUGAUAUGAUCCUGAUGACCACAACCACCACUUGUCUCCUGGAGCAAACACACCUGCCACUGUUGGAUGCUGGUACUGUUUCUAAAUCAUGAGUCCAUGGAUCAGAAGCACAAAGAAGCCUUGCAUAAGCGGUGGGUGAUACUACUCACAAAGUGGCCCAACAGAAACCUGAUCUUCCAUCUGAGGAAAAACACACACAGUCCUCAUCAGUCACCUCAGAUGUCAGAGUGGAAGCAAGUCAAAGUUCAAAUUAAGUUUAUCAUCAAUGAACAUAUAUGUUAUCACAUACUAACUUGAGAUUUCUUGCAGGUAUCUACAGGAAACAUAAAGAAAUAUAGUAGAAUUUACAUAAAAAAUACAUAAAUCAAACCUGGCAAACAACUAUAGUGUUAAAGAAGACAAAUCCUGCAAAAAAAAAUACUGAAAGCAAAGGAUGUAAAGAGUCCUUGAAAAUUAGCCUGUAGGUCAGAAAAACAGUUCCAAGAAGCGGUGAGGAAAGUUAACCAUUUCUGUUCAAGAGCCUUAUAGUUGUAAGGUAAUAACUGUUCCUGAACCUGGUGGUGUGGGGCCUAAGGCUUGUGUACCUCCUGCCCGAUGGUAGUGGUGAUAAGAGAGAAAGGCCUGGAUGGUGAGAGCCCUUGAUGAUUGAUGCUACUUUCUUGAGGCAGUGUUCCAUGCAAAUGUACUCAAUGGUGGGGAGUUCUUUGCCUAUGAUGAAUGGGCUGUAUCCAACAUUUUAUGUAGCCUUUUUUGCUCCUGGCCAUUGGUGUUUCCAUACUAGCCAAUGAUGCAAUCAUCUAGUCUAGGUGCUCGAGGGGUAGCUUAAAAAGAGAGCCAUUGACAAUAAAAGUCCAGAAGAAAUGAAAUCAGGCAUUUAAGAGUGAUGACAUCUUCUGAUUAUGGUACUUUCAGUUCCACAUAUCACUACAGCCUCUUCUCCUAACAGAUCCCUGUUAUUUGGGCUCAUUCAAAAUUGAUAGUCUUGGAUUAGAUUUUGUCAUGCUUCAUGAAUCAGAUGCACUGUGAAUAUGAAGUAGUUUUAAGUGGAAAAUGUGAUGUCAAUAUAUUAAUUGAUUGGCUUUAUUUGUGUCAUGUGCAUUAACAUAUCAAAAUGUACAGGGAAAUGAUUACUAUGUGUUGUACAGCCCGAGGAUGCGCUGAAGACUUUAUAUGUACUGUAUAUCCAUGUUUCCGGUGCCAGCACAACAAAGCUCAAAGUGAAUUUAUUAUCUUAUGUAGGUAUAUAUUACCAUAUAAAGUAAGCUGAGAUUCAUUUUAUUGUGGGCAUUCACAGAAGAUAUAAAGAACCACAAUAGAAUUUAUGAAAAACUACACAGAAAAACAACAGCCAAUGUGCAAAAGAAGGCAAAGUGUACAAAGAUACUGUUACGCCCGUGGCCCCCUCCUUUUUGAGAAUCGCAAGAUUGCUAUUAAGUCAGGUCAGGAGACCCAGGAAAUGAGAGAGAGACGUUUGGAAUGUCCUGGCCCCAGCGAUACAAAGCCACGGAACAGGUCAUUGUCUCUUGGAGACGGAAUUGUGUGUUGAAUACUGUGCUUCGUGGAAGCCCUCAGGUGACGUGGGCCGGUUGGGGGAUGGCAUCAUUCCACCCUGAGUGACAUCUGAGACCCCGUUGGUGGGAAUAAAAGAGGGUCUGGGGAACAACCCCUUUAGACGCACCAGAAGAAACGCUAGAAAUCCUGUAACAGCAUAAUAGCGAAAGCCGGUGGAAAGCCCACGUGCAUCCUAUUCCAUUUGCCUCAGAAUUGGUGGGUCUUACCACGGAAGCACAGCUUUAGCUAACACAAAGGAGAAAUCAGCCCCAAUGACUUUCGAAGGAUUGACAUCAUAAAAGGAAUGGGCAAGUUUUAAAACGCUCUCUCUUGACUCCAACCAAAGGCUGCAGCCUGCAGCUUGAAUGAACUAAAGUGACUUUUAUAUUUCCAUUGGACAAUACAUUAUCCCCUAGACAACGAUAGAGCUAUUUCUUAUUGAGUAUUAUUAUACCCGCAUUUUUAGAUUUAGUAUUGACGAUGUAUAUUAUCUGUAUGUUUGCAUUGAUAUUAUUUUUGUGUAUUUUUAUCAGUAAAUACUGUUAAAAAUAGUACCAUCAGACUUCAACAGACCUCUCUAUCUUUGCUGAUGGGUCUCGUCCCAAAACUUCGACGAUACCAUUUUCCAUUGAUGCUGCCUGGCCUGCUGAAUUCCUCCAGCAUUUUGUGUUCUUUUGAAGACCAUGACCUGGAGUUACACGCUGACUACGGUUCUUUGUGGGAAUGGGACCCGCUCUCGGCGUUCCAUAAUCGGCUGCUAUUCGGCACGCCAAAGCCUUGGCCUAAGAUUUCGGCAUGGAUUCAGAAGCCUGGGAUCUCGAGUAACUGGAGACGGGCGAAUCAAGGGUCGCUGUCGCCACAGGAGACCUGUGUGUCGUUGCGGGGAAGUUGGAACAUCUGCUGUGUGCCUGGGGACCCGGGAUCUUCAGGCACAGAGCUCAAAAAAAGUGAGGCACCUGAAAGCCUUGGAAUACCAUCAAAGAUCAAAGAUCCUCACGAAAGAUGUUGAUGAUCAGUUGGAAGGACAGGCGCACUUACACCAAUGUAGUGGAGGAGGCCAACGUAUACAGUAUCUCCACCAUGAUGAAGCAAUACCAACUCCACUGGAUAGAUCAUAUCAUUCGGAUGCCUAACUCACGUCUCCCCAAAUAGAUCCUUUACUUCCAGUUGUAAGAAGGUCAAUGAGCCCCUGGGGGACAAAGGAAAUGCUUCAAAGAUAACAUCGAAAACAGCUUGAAGAAAUUCAACAUCACAUCUAAACACUGGAAAGACAUUGCACUCAAUAGGUGCACCUGGAUGAAAUCUGUUCAAGAGAGAACAAGCUCCACUGUGCCAGUGAGAACAAGCAGCCACUUUGAAAGGAGAUUCUGAAUAACUGAAAGGCCCAACCACUAACCAUAGCCACCAUCUACACUGCACCAAAAUUUGUGGAUCCUGGACUGGCCUGUACAACUACCUAAGGACCCAGCAUUAGACAACCCCUCGGGGGAACAUUAUACUCAAUUCCAGUGAUUGCAUUAAACUUUCAAAAGAUACUUGUGAAAAUACCCUUUGUGUAUAGAAAUAUUACUCCUGAAAGUCCUGGUUCUAAUUUGUACAAUAUCUACUCCUUUUAGUUCCUCUGAAUCUUGAAGGUUUUGCUCAAGUGACAAUGAGGAGCUUGAGUUUUUAAGACCAUGGAUCAUAUUAGUGUCAAAGUUUGUUCAAAGCUUGGUGUCAAAACUUCAUUUUGGCCAGUAGGUAUACGAUGGGCCAAAUUGUCUCCUUCUGUGCCAUUAAUUUGUCAUGGUUUUAUAAGGCUUACUUUCUACCUGAACAAAAACUGUAGAAACUCUGUGUAUGGAAUAAAUGGAGAGUGAUAUAAUUAUGGGAUACAUAUCUAAGUGUACUGAAGAAAUAAAAACAAAAAUAAUUUUAAAAAAAUUACUUUUGAUAGGUUUGAUUGGUUGGAAAAUUGUUCAUACACUUCAUACCUAUAUGGACACAGUCACUGUGUUCCCAUUUGCCCUGCUCCUUCCUGGAUUUCCUCUUACCAAGAGUCACUUUAUCAUUUCCAGAGUCACCUUAUGAUUCAGACACUCCUGCAUCCAGUGUCACUUUACAUACAUACAAUCAGUCAGUCCUGAUGAAGGGUCCCGGCCUGAAAUGUUGACUCUUUAUUCCUCUCCAUAGAUGCUGCCUGACUUGCUGAGUUCCUCCAGCAUUUUGUGUAUGCUGCUCUGGAUUUUUAGUGCAGACUUUAUGUGUAUGAGCUCAGCUUAUGUAUGUAUGACUGCACUCAACAGUUACUUGUAUGUUGUGUUUUAUAGAAUUACUUUUAUAUUUAUAGUUAUUGUGUUUUUUUAUGUUUACUGCAUUUUUAUGCUGCAUCAGGUCCAAAGAAACAAUACAUUUUAUUCUUGGAGAACAACAAUAAACUAUAUUGAAUCUGUGCCUACAUAUUGAGCUACCUGUCCAAAGACCAUACAUGCAUCUUGGAAAGAAAGACUUCAAUUUAUACUUCUAUUCUAGAUCUCAAGGCUUUUUGAAAAAAAUUCCGGACAAUUGAGUAUUCUUUGAAGCGAAGGCAAUGCUAAUCUUUGACUUAAAUCCUUGGCAUCUGCCAUUCCUGUUCUCGUGUUCUUGCUUGAUGUGUGAAAGAGGAAAAUCCUCUGCCUCGGAGAAAAAACAAAAAUGCAGCCAAAUAUGAAAUUGGAAAUGCAGGUUUGAAUCAGGAACACAAAAGUUAAAAAGCGAAGCUAAGUAACAUCAGCCAAACGUUGCUUCUCACCUCUUUCAACACAAGGUUCAAUUAAAAGAUCUGCUCUAAGCAAUUUAUGAAGAUAAUUCCUUUGGGCCCCUGCAUUUGCUGAAAUGGCUGCUCUGCUGAGGAACAGUUCAUAACAAAAAGAAAGCAUCUGCCUCCCAUAUCAUGCACCAGACAUUCAAAACACGUUGUGGAUUUGUUGCUUUCAUUUACCAUCCAUCCUUUUUUCUUAAUAAUAUUAUGCCCACUCCGUUCCACAUCUGCUAAAUACAGAAUUCAUCUUAUCGGGUGAUUGCAAAUACCUGCUCACACUAGUGAGGACCGCAGGCUGCUUGAACAAUUUAUAGAGGGCUUUUAUUUAAAGAGAUUAGUUUUAUUUGUCACAUCAAAGCAUACAGUGAAUGCGUCAUUUGAGUCAAUUCAAAUCAGUGAGAAAUGUGCUGAUCAGACCUUAAGUGUCUUCGUGCUUCUGUUGCCAACAUAACGUUUCCAAAACUCACUAAUCUGAUGUGUACAUCUUUUGGAAAAUGGGAAGCUCACUCAAGUCACGGGGAGAAUGUGCAAACUCUUUACUGACAGCAGCGAGAAUUGAACCCUUAAUUGGCAAUCGCUGGCGUUGCAAAGCGAUGCACUUGCCAUUGUGCCACCCCAUGAGUUGCCCCGAUCAUUUAAGUAGUAACUGUCAAAAUCUCAGUGCAUCCUGCAGUACCUUACAGCCAAUUAACUGUUCAUUGAAUUAUCAAGUUCAAGCUCAACUUCACAUUCAGUUUAUUGUCAUUCAACAAUUGAUCAGGUGCAUUUACAGCACAUAAGAGUAAACAGUAUAACAUGACUGGGGCUUCAUGCAUGAUGAGACUGGAGUGCUGGCAGAGUUCAGUAGGCUUACGCCUUGGGAGAAGAAGCUGUUCCCCAUCCUAACAGUUGAUGCCCUAAUGCUAUGGUAUCUGCUGCCUGAUAUUGGGGGUCAAGGAAGUAGUUGGACAAAUGGGAGGGAUCAUCGACAAUGGUAAGGGCCCUGCAUGUGCAGCAUUCCCGAUAAAUAUCUCUGGUGGGUGGAAAACGGACCCCAGUGAUCCUCUCAGCAUUCCUCACAAUCCUUUGCGGGGACUUGCUGUCAGAUGCCUUGCAGUUUCUGUACCAGAUAGUCAUGCAGGUGGUCAGGACACUCCCGAUGGUGCUCCUGUAAAAACUGUAAGAGCUUAUAGUCCCCAUCGUAGUUCAGCCUGGCCUCGAAUCAUCUUGGACUCCUUGUCAGCAUUGCAUUUUCUGAUUGCGUGUCGUACUAAAGCACUGCAGUCAGUACAGGUACAUGUAUAUGAAUGAGGUUGAUCCUUGAUCCCUGAGACAGUUGGCUGUGGAUGGAUCACAGUCUCCGAAGCCCUUGCUCUAGCAAGUAGGUGUAAUGGCUACCUCUUGGUAAAAGAAACCACAGGUAGGCAACACCUGGGUCUCAAAUUGAAGUUUGGGGCCUGAAAUAUCAGGAUCCUCACGGACAAGAGACUUAUGAGAAUGAGAAGUGGUGGCCAUUUUACACAGUAAGGUUCCAUGAACAGCAAUGUGUAAGUGACUAGUUAAUCUUUGUAGGAAAUGUUGGUUCAGUUAAAAUUAUUGGUUAAGACACCAUACUCCUCUUCAAACUAGUGUCAAAGGGAUCUUCGACAUCUACCAUUGAGAGCAGAUACUUAAUGUCUCAUGCCAAAUUGCCACUGCUGCCAAUGCACCAUCAUUCAGCACUACACUGGAGUAUAUGCCCAAGUGCUCAAGGCAUUCAACAUUCAAGAGUCAUACACACAAAGUGCUGGAGGAACACACUAGUUACAGCAGCAUCUAUGGAGGGUAAUUAACAGGUGCCACUUCAUGCUGAGACCCUUCAUCAGGACAGAAAUGUCGACUGUUAAUUCCUCUCCUUAGAUGCUGCCUAACCUGCUGAGAUUGUCCAGUAUUAGAACCAUAGAGCACUACAGCACAGAAAACAGGCCAUUCACCCUUUCUAUUCUGUGCCAAAAUUUUGUUCCACUAGUCCCAUUGACCUGCACCCAGCCCAUAACCCUCCAGACCUCUCCAAUCCACGUACCUAUCCAAUUUAUUCUUAAAACUUAAGAGUGAGCCCGCAUUUACAAUGUCAGAUGGCAGCUCUCUGAGCGAAUUUCCCCCUAAUGUUCCCCCUAAACUUUCCCCUUUCACCCUAAAGCUAUGUCCUCUUGUAUUUAUCUCUCCUAAUUUAAGUGGAAAGAGCCAACUCACAUUUAUUCUGUCUAUACCCCUCAUGAUCUUGUAAACCUCUAUCAAAAAGUGUUAUUCUGGAUUUUCAACAUCCACAGAAUCUCUUGCGCUCUAUGUUCAGUUCAUUUAUUUAUCUCGUGUACAUCAAAACAUAACAGCCUAUGGAUGAGCUGGGAACAACCCGCAAGUGGGACUUGAACUCUGAAACCUACUGCAUCAGAGCUUAUAAUGCUGCCACUGAGCCAAAACUGAUGUAUAACUUCCACUGCACUGAAAUUUGAGCCUUAAUUCCAUCUGCCCAAGCAGGGAAACUGCACCAGAAUGAAGCACAAGUCAUGGUAACUUCACUGGAUGUUCCUACCUAAAGAAAUGGACGCCAGGGGUGGGAGCAUCACAACAUAGCCCAAUGUUAAGAUUAGCUUUAUUUGUCACGUACAUCGAAAAUUAAAAGCAGGAUAGACAAAGGAUAUGUAGUAGAUGUGGUGUACUUGGAUCUUCAGAAGACCUUUGACAAGGUGCCGCACGUGAGGCUGCUUAGCAAGAUAACAGCCCAUGGAAUUACAGGAAAGUUACUAGCAUGGGUGGAACAUUAGCUGGUCGGCAGAAAAUGGAGUGGGAAUAAAGGGAUUCCAUUCUGGCUGGCUGCCAGUUACCACAGGGGUCGGUGUUGGGACCACUGCUUUUUAUGAUAUAUGUCAAUGAUUUGGACUAUGGGAUUAAUGGAUUUGUGGCUAAAUUUGCCGAUGAUACAAAGAAAGGUGGAGGAGUGAGUAGUGGUGAGGAAACAGAGAGCCUGCAGAGAGUCUUAGAUAGCUUAGGGGAAUGGGCAAAGAAGUGGCAAAUGAACGUUGGAAAGUGUAUGGUCAUGCACUGUGAUGGAAGAAAUAAACGGGCAGACUAUCAUUUAGAUGGGGAGAGAAUUCAAAUUGCAGAGAUGCAAAGAGACUUGGAAGUCCUUGUGCAAGAUACCCUAAAGGUUAACCUCCAGGUUGAGUCAGUUGUGAAGAAGACAAAUGCAAUGUUGGCAUUCAUUUCUAGGGGUAUAGGAUAAAAGAGCAGGGAUGUGAUAUUCAGGCUCUAUAAGGCACUCAUGAGACCACACUUGGAGUAUUGUGUGCAGUUUUGGGCUCCUUAUUUUAGAAAGGAUAUGCUGACGUUGGAGAGGGUUCAGAGAAGAUUCACAAGAAUGAUUCCAGGAAUGAAAGGGUAUGAAAUGUAUGAGGCAGCUCUUGGACUGUAUUCCCUGGAGUUCAGGAGAAUGAGGGGGAAUCUCAUAGAAAAAUUACAAAUGUUAAAAGGCCUGAACAGAUUUCAUAUGGCAAAGUUAUUUCCCAUGGUAGGGGAGUCUAGGACAAAACUUCAGGAUUGAAUGACAUCCAUUUAGAACAGAGAUGUGGACUAAUUACUUUAGUCAGAGGGUGAUAAAUCUGUGGAAUUGGUUGCCAUGAGCAGCUGUGGAGAGCAAAUCAUUGGGUGUAUUUAAGACAGAAAUAGAUAGGUUCUUGAUUAGCCAAGGCAUGAAAGGGUAUGGGGAGAAGGCAGGGGAGUGGGGGAUGACUGGAAGAAUUAGAUCAGCCCAGGAUUGAAUGGUGGGGCAGACUUGAAGGGCCAAAUGGCCUACUUCUGCUCCCAUAGCUUAUGGUCUUAUGAUCUAACUUAUAGUGAAGUGUGUCAAUUCAAAUCCACAUUAAUUGCAUUGGGCAGCUUGCAAGAGUUGUCACGCUUCUGGCACCAAUAUAGUAUUCCCAGAACUCACUAACUGGAAUGUGGGAGGAAACCAGAGCACCCAAAGGAAACACGCAUGGUUACGGGGAGAAUGUACAAACUCCUUACAGGCAGUGGCAGGAAUGGAACCCCAAUCAGUGAUCCUUAGCGCUGCACAGUGAGGCACUAGCUAUCACGCUAUGAUGCUGUCCAUAAUGCACUGUGCCUCUCCGAACAGUCUCUGGUCCAAACCCAGUGGCCCAUGCAUUUUCUACAUACGUGGUUAGGUUAUGGCUGUAACUUUGACAAGAGGCAAUUUUAACCUCCAAGCCUUCCACCAGGAAACUGAUUGGCUGGAGUUUUUGGCAUUUCAUCCUGCCUGAUCUUAACUCAUUCACUGAUUUUAACAAAAUAUCAUUGAGGUGCAAAGCCAGCACUGGCAAAAUGCUAUUUGUGAUUUUGCUUAAAGUUCUCCAUAACAUCUGUCUAAAAGUGUAAUUAUAGUUUUUGAAAUUGAACAGUCAUUUUAGAUUUCUCUUCUGUGAUUCUGUUUUCUUUUGUCUGUAUUGCCUAGGAUUUUAAAAAUUCUGCCAGUAUAUUUAAAAUGUACUUAAGU